UAGAAGUGUAAAUGUCUGUGUCUGUUGGUGAGACAGAGGACGUGGGCGCCCGCCGAAGUACGUGUGCGCGCGCGCGUUUGCAGGAAAACGUGCAUGGAUUUCUUCGGAGAAGGCGCCUAGGCGCUGUCCGUAGUGCUGAAAUGGUGCGUGGUGAGACCUGUCUCCCCAACACAAGCUAGAAGACAACAAAAUAGCAGCCAGGAAACGCUCUGAUAAAGCUCUAGAUAGCUGCCAGGUGAUGCCAGAGAUUACUAGUUUUGGGACCAAUUAAAGUAGCAAGAUGCAGCCAGGAGUGGUGGCUUAUGCCUGUAAUCCCAGCACUUUGGGAGGCCGAGGUAGGAGGAUCACCUGAGGUGAGGAG
rnacentral:lncRNA from 1 species